rnacentral:rRNA from 1 species
CCUACGGGUGGCAGCAGUGAGGAAUAUUGGUCAAUGGCCGGAAGGCUGAACCAGCCAAGCCGCGUGAAGGACGAAGGUUCCAAGCAUUGUAAACUUCUUUUGUCAAGGGACAAAAUCAGGCUCGAGAGCCUGACCGAGGGUACUUGUAGAACAAGCAUCGGCUAACUCCGUGCCAGCAGCCGCGGUAAUACGGAGGAUGCGGACGUUAUCCGGAUUUAUUGGGGUUAAAGGGUGCGUAGGGGGGCUGUUAAGUAAGAGGUAAAGGCCCGGGGCUCACCCCCGGCGAGCGGUUGAAACUGGCUGUCUUGAGAUGUCGAGAGGUAUGCGGAAUGCGCAGUGUAGCGGUGAAAUGCUUAGAUAUUGCGCAGAACUCCGAUUGCGAAGGCAGCAUACCGGCGGCGAUCUGACGCUGAGGCACGAAAGCGUGGGUAUCGAACAGGAUUAGAUACCCGAGUAGUC